CCCCAGCGCCACAAGUGGCAUUCGCGUUUAUUGGGCCUAAAGCGUCCGUAGCAGGUUUUGUAAAUUCCUUGUGAAAUUGCCAGGCUUAACUUGGCAGAGUGCAGGGAACACUGCAAAGCUUGGGACCGGGAGGAGUCAGAGGUAUUCCUGAGGGAGCGGUAAAAUGCUAUAAUCUCAGGAGGACCACCGGUGGCGAAGGCGUCUGACUAGAACGGAUCCGACUGUGAGGGACGAAAGCCAGGGGAUCAAA
rnacentral:rRNA from 1 species